UGAUCUCUUCUUCCAUUAUUGAUUUUAUAUAAACUUCUCAAAGGAAUUAACCAAGGAUAUAAAUAGUACCCGUACAUAAUUACCAAGUUCUUGAUAAUUAAAAAAAAUUGGCCUGGUUUACAUGUUAUAUUAGAAGUAAUGUCUUAACAAGAAACUAAUAUUGCAAGCGGUCUUGUGAACUUGACUCAAAAACAGAAGAUCAAAUGGAGAUUUAUUUUGGAGAAUUGAGAAUAUAGUGGUGUAUCAAUGAAUAUCCAUUGGUGGCAUUGCCAUGAAGGUGAGUGUCCAUUUCACAACAGACAGUGUCUUAAGUGCAUUGCUUCUCAACUGUGGCUUACCUCCUUUGGUUCCUCCCUUAACCUGGUUUUCAAGUCUUCCUAACCAUUCUAUAUUAUACCCAUUUCAUGAAUUCCUUUUCUUCUUAAAAUAACUAAUAUCCGUUUUGUUGUGGUGUUUUUUUUUUUUUUAACAACAGCCUGACCAGUACAUGUCCUAAAGGGGAAUCUAAUUCACAUGUCCUCCCAGGAAAGGCAGCUACAGGUCUUAUUUGUAUGCAUAUUUCAUAGGGCUCCCAGGGGAACAAUGAAAAGCACUCUUAGGAUGGAUAGUUAAGCUCUUAAGCACAGGAAUCAAGGAUCAUAGAACUGUAAUUGAUAGUUGGGAGUAAUGUUUUUGCAUAGAAGAAUUCUGAAAGAUGGUGCUCCAAAAUUUCUUAAAAGAUUGACAGUAAAUAUUUUCAGUGCAGAAAACUGACAGGAUUAAUAUCCAGAAGAAAAAACACUUUAAAAGUCAACAAAAAGACAAAAAAUGAGAAUGGAGAGAAAAAUACAGUAAAGGAUGUGAAUAGGUAAAUUACUGAAGAUGAGAUUCAGAUGAUCAGUUGACAUAUGAAGAGAUAUUUGAUUUCAUUAGUAAUCAGUGAAAUUUAAAAUAAGAUGUCUUUUUUCAUUUACCAGAUUAGCAGAGAUGGACAAACCACACAUUUGUGUAUUAUGUAUUGCAAGCAUGUUGAGUGUAAAUUGGGAUAGCUCCUCCUGAGAUGAUUUGGCUGUAUCUAUUAAAACUGAAAAUGGGUAUAAACGGUAACUCAGGAAUUCCUCAUUUUGGUAUCUUCUGAAUAGAAACACACAUGUGCAAAAACAAGUAUGUAUUUUUUUCAAAAACGACAACUAUUGUUAAGGGUGUGAAAAAAUUGGACCCUCAUACACUGCUGGUAGAAAUGUAAAAUGGUGCAGACACUUUGGAAGCUGUCAGUUUCUCAAAACGUUAAGCACCAAAUUACCAUAACCAGCAGUUUUUACUCUUAGAAAUCUGUCCAAUAGUCUUAACAACAUAUGUCUACACCACUUGUACACAAAUACUCAUAGCAGCAUUGUUUAUAAUAGCCAUAAGGUGGAAACAACUGGUGAAACAGAAUGUGGUGUAUCUGUACAAUGGAAUAUUAUUCAGCAAUAAAAAUUAGCAAAGUAUUGAUACAUGCUACAACAUAGAUAAACUACAAAAACAUUAUGCCAAGUGGAAGAAGUGAGACAGGAACGAUUGCAUAUUGUAUAAUUUCAUUUAUGUGAAAAUGACAAAAUCUGUAGAAACAGAAAGUAGAAUAGUGGUUGCUCAGGGCACAUAGUGGGAAUGGAGAAUGACUGCAAAUGGGCAUGAGGUUCCUUUUGGGGUGAUGGAUACUCUAAAAUUAAGUAGUGGAGAUGAUUGUGCAACUAUAACUUCACUUUAAAAAUGCCACCGAGGGCAGAGUCAAGAUGGCAGACUAAGAGUAGCAGAAUUCGUGUCUCUGCACAACUAGGGCCCCUACCAGGCACUGGUGGGGGACCACGGAAACCUAAGGGGAUAGAGAAACUCCCAGCGACCGGCUUGCGGAAUCUUCGUUUCCAGAUCAGAGAUCAGGCCCGAGCUUCUGUGGUGGGAGCUCCGAGUCCAAACUACUGGACUAACAGAGAACCUCAGACCCCAGGGAAUAUUAAUAAGAGUGAGGCCUCCUGUAGAUCCUAAUCUCAGCAUCAGGACAUGGCUCUCUCCAACUGCCUGCAAACUCUAGUGCUUGACAUCUCAGGCCAAACAAUGAGUAAGAGGGGAAUACAGGCCCACCCAUCAAAAAAAAAAAAAAAAAGACAAAAAAAA